GCUGGGUGUGGUGGCACGUGCCUGUAGUCCUAGCUACUUGGGAGGCUGAGGCUGGAGGAUCACUGGAGUCCAGGAGUUCUGGGCUGUAAUGCGCUAUGCCGAUCAGGUGUCCAAACUAAGUUCAGCAUCAAUAUGGUGACCUCCCGGGGGCGGGGGACCACCAGGUUGGCUAAGGAGGGGUGAAUCGGCCCAAGUCGGAAACGGAACAGGUCAAAACUCCCGUGCUGAUCAAUAGUGGGAUCGUGCCUGUGAAUAGCCACUGCAUUCCAGCCAGGGCAAUAUAGCGAGACCCCAUCUCU
rnacentral:SRP_RNA from 1 species